GUCCUGCUGCGGCUCUCGUCGGAGGCGACUUAUCCUCGCGACCUUAAUUCACUCGAAGGGAUCUGUCCCUGUUUGGGCUCGAGGGCCCGGGCACACGGAGCCCACCUGGCUACCCAGGUCGAGAGGAUUGAACAGUCCUCCACGGUUCUUGCGGCGCCGCC
rnacentral:other from 1 species